rnacentral:misc_RNA from 1 species
UGAAGUACGGAUAUUAAUAAUCAAUAAUUUUGGCUUGUCCAUCAUUAUCUAUUUACUGUGAACUGUAUUAUUACUUGACGCUUGAGGGAUGUUCCAAUGCUAUAAGGAUAGGCACUGGAAAUGUUAACCGAGUCAUAAUCAAGCUUAGGCUUGGUAUCCUAUUAUUAUUUACCAAAAGAAUUCAGAAUUAAUAUUGUAACAUAGACGUAAAAAAUCUAUAAAACAACUUUUAACAACGGAUCUCUUGGUUCUCGCAUCGAUGAAGAACGUAGCAAAGUGCGAUAACUAGUGUGAAUUGCAUAUUCAGUGAAUCAUCGAGUCUUUGAACGCAACUUGCGCUCAUUGGUAUUCCAAUGAGCACGCCUGUUUCAGUAUCAAAACAAACCCUCUAUCCAACUUUUGUUGAAUAGGAUGACUGAGAGUCUCUUGAUCUAUUCUGAUCUUGAACCUCUUGAAAUAUACAAAGGCCUGAUCUUGUUUGAAUGCCUGAACUUUUUUUUAAUAUAAAGAGAAGCUCUUGCGAUAAAACUGUGCUGGGGCCUCCCAAAUAACACAUCUUUAAAUUUGAUCUGAAAUCAGGUGGGAUUACCCGCUGAACUUAA